AUACGGAGGGUGCGAGCGUUAAUGGGAAUUACUGGGCGUAAAGCGUACGUAGGCGGUUGGUUAAGUUAGAUGUGAAAGCCCCGGGCUUAACCUGGGAACUGCAUUUAAAACUGGCGAACUAGAGUUGAGUAGAGGGGAGUGGAAUUUCAGGUGUAGCGGUGAAAUGCGUAGAGAUCUGAAGGAACACCAGUGGCGAAGGCGACUCCCUGGACUCGAACUGACGCUGAGGUACGAAAGCGUGGGUAGCAAACGGGAUUAGAAACCCUAGUAGUCC
rnacentral:rRNA from 1 species